UGCAACCGCACGGAAUCGUGGCUGCCAACAUCCUGCAGCUGCCUCCUAACACUGUGUAGUCACCUCUAGCUGCUGGAAUUACAGAACAGUCACCACAUGGUCCCGUGACUUGCACGGCGCCAGAGCUGCUCUACCGCACCAUCUUGCCGGAGCUGCUCUGUCGCACCAUCUUGCCGGAGCUGCUCUGCCGCACCAUCCUGCUGUCGGAGCAUAGCAGCAACCGCC
rnacentral:lncRNA from 1 species